AACUGUAUUAAGCACUAAAAUUAAUCAUUUUUUCUUAACAUUCCCCCUUUUGAGGUCUUAAUCAAAAGACCUCAAUAAAAAUUGAUUAAGCCUUCUAAUACAGAACCAAAACUAUGUAUUAAACUAAUAAAAAUAAAAAAACGAAAAAACCAAAAAACAAAAAGACAAAAGAGUGACGUACCCUAAUUAUAUACAGUUCCCCUUUUUAAACAAAACUCAA